rnacentral:rRNA from 1 species
UACGUAGGGUGCAAGCGUUGUCCGGAAUUAUUGGGCGUAAAGAGCGUGUAGGCGGCCCGGUAAGUCCGCUGUGAAAGUCCAGGGCUCAACCCUGGGAUGCCGGUGGAUACUGUCGGGCUCGAGUCCGGAAGAGGAGUGUGGAAUUCCUGGUGUAGCGGUGAAAUGCGCAGAUAUCAGGAGGAACACCAGUGGCGAAGGCGGCUUCCUGGACACCAACUGACGCUGAGACGCGAAAGCGUGGGGAGCAAACAGG